UAAUGGGUCAGCGACUUAUAUUCUGUAGCAAGGUUAACCGAAUAGGGGAGCCGAAGGGAAACCGAGUCUUAACUGGGCGUUAAGUUGCAGGGUAUAGACCCGAAACCCGGUGAUCUAGCCAUGGGCAGGUUGAAGGUUGGGUAACACUAACUGGAGGACCGAACCGACUAAUGUUGAAAAAUUAGCGGAUGACUUGUGGCUGGGGGGGAAAGGCCAAUCAAACCGGGAGAUAGCUGGUUCUCCCCGAAAGCUAUUUAGGUAGCGCCUCGUGAAUUCAUCUCCGGGGGUAGAGCACUGUUUCGGCAAGGGGGUCAUCCCGACUUACCAACCCGAUGCAAACUGCGAAUACCGGAGAAUGUUAUCACGGGAGACACACGGCGGGUGCUAACGUCCGUCGUGAAGAGGGAAACAACCCAGACCGCCAGCUAAGGUCCCAAAGUCAUGGUUAAGUGGGAAACGAUGUGGGAAGGCCCAGACAGCCAGGAUGUUGGCUUAGAAGCAGCCAUCAUUUAAAGAAAGCGUAAUAGCUCACUGGUCGAGUCGGCCUGCGCGGAAGAUGUAACGGGGCUAAACCAUGCACCGAAGCUGCGGCAGCGACGCUUAUGCGUUGUUGGGUAGGGGAGCGUUCUGUAAGCCUGUGAAGGUGUGCUGUGAGGCAUGCUGGAGGUAUCAGAAGUGCGAAUGCUGACAUAAGUAACGAUAAAGCGGGUGAAAAGCCCGCUCGCCGGAAGACCAAGGGUUCCUGUCCAACGUUAAUCGGGGCAGGGUGAGUCGACCCCUAAGGCGAGGCCGAAAGGCGUAGUCGAUGGGAAACAGGUUAAUAUUCCUGUACUUGGUGUUACUGCGAAGGGGGGACGGAGAAGGCUAUGUUGGCCGGGCGACGGUUGUCCCGGUUUAAGCGUGUAGGCUGGUUUUCCAGGCAAAUCCGGAAAAUCAAGGCUGAGGCGUGAUGACGAGGCACUACGGUGCUGAAGCAACAAAUGCCCUGCUUCCAGGAAAAGCCUCUAAGCAUCAGGUAACAUCAAAUCGUACCCCAAACCGACACAGGUGGUCAGGUAGAGAAUACCAAGGCGCUUGAGAGAACUCGGGUGAAGGAACUAGGCAAAAUGGUGCCGUAACUUCGGGAGAAGGCACGCUGAUAUGUAGGUGAAGUCCCUCGCGGAUGGAGCUGAAAUCAGUCGAAGAUACCAGCUGGCUGCAACUGUUUAUUAAAAACACAGCACUGUGCAAACACGAAAGUGGACGUAUACGGUGUGACGCCUGCCCGGUGCCGGAAGGUUAAUUGAUGGGGUCAGCGCAAGCGAAGCUCUUGAUCGAAGCCCCGGUAAACGGCGGCCGUAACUAUAACGGUCCUAAGGUAGCGAAAUUCCUUGUCGGGUAAGUUCCGACCUGCACGAAUGGCGUAAUGAUGGCCAGGCUGUCUCCACCCGAGACUCAGUGAAAUUGAACUCGCUGUGAAGAUGCAGUGUACCCGCGGCAAGACGGAAAGACCCCGUGAACCUUUACUAUAGCUUGACACUGAACAUUGAGCCUUGAUGUGUAGGAUAGGUGGGAGGCUUAGAAGUGUGGACGCCAGUCUGCAUGGAGCCGACCUUGAAAUACCACCCUUUAAUGUUUGAUGUUCUAACGUUGACCCGUAAUCCGGGUUGCGGACAGUGUCUGGUGGGUAGUUUGACUGGGGCGGUCUCCUCCUAAAGAGUAACGGAGGAGCACGAAGGUUGGCUAAUCCUGGUCGGACAUCAGGAGGUUAGUGCAAUGGCAUAAGCCAGCUUGACUGCGAGCGUGACGGCGCGAGCAGGUGCGAAAGCAGGUCAUAGUGAUCCGGUGGUUCUGAAUGGAAGGGCCAUCGCUCAACGGAUAAAAGGUACUCCGGGGAUAACAGGCUGAUACCGCCCAAGAGUUCAUAUCGACGGCGGUGUUUGGCACCUCGAUGUCGGCUCAUCACAUCCUGGGGCUGAAGUAGGUCCCAAGGGUAUGGCUGUUCGCCAUUUAAAGUGGUACGCGAGCUGGGUUUAGAACGUCGUGAGACAGUUCGGUCCCUAUCUGCCGUGGGCGCUGGAGAACUGAGGGGGGCUGCUCCUAGUACGAGAGGACCGGAGUGGACGCAUCACUGGUGUUCGGGUUGUCAUGCCAAUGGCACUGCCCGGUAGCUAAAUGCGGAAGAGAUAAGUGCUGAAAGCAUCUAAGCACGAAACUUGCCCCGAGAUGAGUUCUCCCUGACUCCUUGA
rnacentral:rRNA from 1 species